rnacentral:sRNA from 1 species
CAACAGCAUCACCUGUGGGUUCAGAAUCAGAGACCUCCAGCUUAUAUCCCCAUUUUGGGGUAAUUGGAUGGCUGUAUUCAUAGAGCAGCCGGCCCCUGUUUGCUAGCUGAAUGUCGUAACCUGAAUGGCUGUGAUACUGGACAUGCAAAAAUCACAUGUGGCUAUGACCUGCCUGCAAAAUCUCCUGGUAACCACAAUUCUUUCUGGAGUGCAAUGGCGUAAUCUCAGCUCACUGCAGCCUCUGCCUCCUGGGCUCAAGUGAUUCUCCUGCCUCAGCCUCCCGAGUAGCUGGGACUACAGGUGUAUGCCACCACUCCCCGCUAAUUUUUGUAUUUUUAAUAGAGACGGGAUUACAACAUGUUGCCCAGGCUGGUCUGGAACUCUUGGGCUCAAGCAAUCCUCCUGCCUUGGCCUCCCAAAGUGCUGGGAUUAGAGUUUUGAGCCACCAUGCCCAGCCCAUGAUUCUACUUUCUGUUCGUAUGAGUUUGAUUACUUUAGAUACCAUUUAUGAGGGGAAUUAUACAAUAGUUAUCUUUUGUGACUGGCUUAUUUCUCUUAGCAUAAUGUCUUCAAGGUUUAGCCACAUUAUAGCGUGUGAUAGGAAUUCUUCUUUUUUAAGGCUGAAUAAUAUAUUUCUUUGUAUGUAUAUACCACGUAUUUUUAAUCCAUUUAUCUUUUGAUGAACAUUUGGGUUACUUCCACCCCUCGGUUCUUGUGAAUAAUACUGCAGUGAACAUGGGUGUGCAGAUAUCUCUUGGAGACCCUGCUAUCAAUUCUUUUGGUUAUACACCCAGAAGUGGAAUUGCUGGGUCAUAUGGUGAUUCCAUGUUUAAUUUUUUUGAGGAAAUUUAAUACUGUUUUUGAUAGUGGCUAACACUAUUUUACAUUCCCAAUAACAAUGUACAUCUUCACUAACACUUGUUACUUUCCUUUUUUUUAUAAUAGCCAUCCUAAUGAAUGUGAUAUGCAUACAGCUUUAAAAAAAACUAUUGUUUCUUCAGAAUAUUUGCAUAUGGAGAUUAGCAUAUGUUAUUUACCUUUAAUAUUAUAUAUUUUGUCUUUGCUUAUUUGAUAGAUAAAAAUAAUUUAUAUUUAUUUGACUACUAGUAAAAUUUAAUAAUUUUAAUACUUGGUUACUAGCCAGUUUAUAUUUUUCUUGUGAUUUAUAAGUUCAUAAACUAUACCUCAUUUUGUAUUGGGUUUUCUCCACCCUUCUUAUUUAUUUAUAAGAACUAUUAACAUAAUACAUUAUCCUUUUAUCUUUUAUUUAUUUAUUUAUUUAUUUAUUUAUUUUUAAGACAGAGCCUCGCUCUGUUGCCCGGGCUGGAAUGCAGUGGCACCAACACAGCUCUCUGUAGCCUUGACCUCCUGGACUCAAGCAAUCCUUUUGCCUCAGCCUCCCAAGUAGCUGGUACCACAGGCUCGUACCACCAUUUCUGGCCAAUUUUUAAACUUUUAUGUAGAGAUAGGGACUCACCAUCUUGCCCAGGCUGGUCUCAAACUCCCCAGCUCAAGCAAUCCUCUUGCCUUGACUUCCUAAAGUGCUGAGAUUACAAGCAUGAGCCACCAUGUCUGGCUGUUAUUUCAUGUUUUUUUACAAACAUUAUUUUCAUGUUUCAGAUACAUUUUAAUUUUGUUUAUUGUAAUAUUUGCUUCUAUAAUACUGAUAGAAUCAAACUUAAACUUAAGACUAUUUUAUUUCUCAUUUACCCCUACUUUUUUUUUUUUUUUUUCCUUUUUUGAGAUGGAGUCUCGCUCUGCCGCCCAAGCUGCAGUGCAUUGACGUGAUCUCGGCUCACUGCAAGCUCUGCCUCCUGGGUUCACACCAUUCUCCUGCCUCAGCCUCCCGAGUAGCUAGGACUACAGGUGCCCACCACCAUGUCCGGCUAAUUUUUUAUAUUUUUAGUAGAGAUGGGGUUUCACCAUGUUAGCCAGGAUGGUCUCGAUCUCGUGAUCCACCCGCCUCAGCCGCCCAAAGUGCUGGGAUUAUAGGCGUGAGCCACUGCACCCAGCAUUUACCUCUACUUUUAUAUGAAGAAAAUCCAUGCUCAUGUAAUAGCCGAAUACAGUCAAAUUCAUUUUUUUCUAGUGUUAAUAUUUCAAUCAAAUUCUAAUGCAUUAGGAAUUUGUUAAUAUCGCAUUUAAUAUUAUUUUUCUCCAAUCUUGUUUUAUUUGAAAAAUAUUAUAAUCCAGUCAAAUAGCAAAUAACAUAACAAAAUGAGAAUUUCUUACCAAGGAUUAAUUCAUAUUAACAUUUUAUCAUAUUUAUUUCAGAUCUUGUGUGUGUGUGAUGUUUACUGAUAAAUUUUGUGUCCUUGUACAGCUUUUGUGGAUCAGGGACAAGGGGAGCAUGUUGCCGAACAAAAAUAUAUUAACAUGUUUGGGACUAAUGCACACUGAUUUCCACAGAAAGUAACUGAUUGAUUGCAAUCAAUUAUGGGAGCCUAGAGGGUGGCAAGAGUUUUGAUAAAAUUCAGUUCAAUAAACUUGUGAAUUUAAGAGCAUAGAGAUUCUAUUAACAAGAAUAAAUAGAAGAAGAUUUAGACAUGGUGAUUUAAAGGGGAUAUCCAGUUGGUGUUGAAGAGUAACCAUCUCAGGAAAACAGUAGGAAUUAGAGCCAGUUUUGAGAAUAUUCUGUGUGAGAUCUAUGGAAAUAAAAAAGCUAGGAGGGGAAAAGCUUAAAGGAAUGUGUGUUGGGAAGUGCUUAUAGAAGAGAGCAAGCAAAGUGCCUUCCUGUUGUUGUUUAGAUUUUUCCUUAAUCUGCAUUCCUGCAAUUAGGUUUACUGAGCUCUAUGGCCUGAGUUAUUGCUCCUCUAUGUAGUUCCAGAUUAAGGGUUAAGAAUUCUAGUAGAGUAGGAGUAUUUCUGGAAAAGAUGGUUGGGGGACAAUAUAGGGAUGGGGAGAAGCGGAGGGCUUACUCUCUACCUCCCAAAAUUUUCAUGGAAAUGACAUUCAGUAAAAGUAAAUAUCCAUAUAACAAUGGUGGUGGAAAGGAAAAUGUAGGGGUAGAUGGCUUUUGCGGAUCAGGAACAAAGGGGAUCAUAAUGCUAAAUAAAAAUAUGUUAACAUGUA